CCUACGGGAGGCAGCAGUGGGGAAUUUUGGACAAUGGGCGCAAGCCUGAUCCAGCAAUGCCGCGUGAGUGAAGAAGGCCUUCGGGUUGUAAAGCUCUUUUGUCAGGGAAGAAACGGUGGGGGCUAAUAUCUCCUACUAAUGACGGUACCUGAAGAAUAAGCACCGGCUAACUACGUGCCAGCAGCCGCGGUAAUACGUAGGGUGCAAGCGUUAAUCGGAAUUACUGGGCGUAAAGCGUGCGCAGGCGGUUUUGUAAGUCUGUCGUGAAAGCCCCGGGCUCAACCUGGGAAUUGCGAUGGAGACUGCAAGGCUUGAAUCUGGCAGAGGGGGGUAGAAUUCCACGUGUAGCAGUGAAAUGCGUAGAGAUGUGGAGGAACACCGAUGGCGAAGGCAGCCCCCUGGGUCAAGAUUGACGCUCAUGCACGAAAGCGUGGGGAGCAAACAGGAUUAGAUACCCUGGUAGUCCACGCCCUAAACGAUGUCUACUAGUUGUCGGGUUUUAAUUAACUUGGUAACGCAGCUAACGCGUGAAGUAGACCGCCUGGGGAGUCGGUCGCAAGNUUAAACUUCAAAGGAAUUGACGGNUUGGNGNGNGCGAGCGACGACGAGGGAGAGG
rnacentral:rRNA from 1 species